UGUUAAGCGAAGUUGGUUUGUGACCGUCACUAACGGGCAGUGAUUAUGUUUUGCUCGUUUUGACGAUCGCAAAAUGAACUCACUUGAC
rfam:Papilio xuthus contig11020, whole genome shotgun sequence.